UGGCCGCGGUACCUUGACCGUGUUAAGGUAGCAUAAUAAUUUGCCUUUUAAUUGGAGGCUUGUAUGAAUGGAUAAACGAGAAUAUAGCUGUCUCAUUUUUAAAUUUAAAAAUUAAUUUUCAAGUGAAGAAGCUUGAAUAAUUUAAAAAGACAAGAAGACCCUGUUGAGCUUUAUUUGUUAUAAAAAAUAAAAUAGAAAUUAUUGAGUUUUUUAAAUACAAAUUUAAUUGGGGCGAUUAAGGAAGAAAUUAAAUCUUCCUAUUAAAAUAAGGUAAUUAAUCAUUAAUUAAUCCACAAAAGUGAAUAUAUAAUAAGCUACCACAGGGAUAACAGGCUAAUCCUUUUUAAGAGUUCAUAUUGAAAAAGGGGUUUG
rnacentral:rRNA from 1 species